CAUUUUCGGAAAGAAUUGAACGUUUUUGUUCUGUUCGUAUAUACUGCACAGUCAACUUUUGUUGCGUGAAACUACGAACGGCUCAUUCAAUAAGUUAUAGUUUCUUUAAUGGUACUUUACUACUGGGAUAAUCUUUCUAAUUCUAGAACUAAUACGUGCACCAAGGUUGUUUUUUCAGAAAGAAUACCAAUACGGGGCUUGCUCCAGUGUUUCGUCAAUCAUUAUUACUCGAUGAAUCGCACGUUAGUUUCUUUCACUCAAAUUCCCGAAGAGGGAGACACAUCCGAAGAAGGCAGCAGGUGCGCAAAUUACCCAAUCCCGACACGGUGAGAGGUAGUGACAUUAAAUAAGAUUACUGGGACAAUGAUUAGAAUGAAUACAAUGUAAAUCCCAUAACGAGGAUCCAUUGGAGAUCAAGUCUGGUGCCAGUAGCCAAGGUAAUCCCAGUUCCCACAUCGUAUAUUUAAGUUGUUGCACUUUAAAAUGCUCGUAGUUUGAUCUUGGGAGGGAUCGGCGGUCCGCCUCUUUUGGUGUGCACUGGCGGCCCCUUUCUGGUCCUGUCGCGGAGUCGGCGAUGCUACUCUGAAAUAUUUAGAGUGCUCAAAGCAAGCCAUACGCUCUGAAUACACCAGCAUGGAAUAACGCGACAAGACUCUGGUCUUCGGGACCGGAGUGAUGAUUAAUAGGGACAGUCCCGAACAGAACGACUCGGUUUGAUAGCGAGCGACAUUUGUGUGGGAUGCGAUGCUGC
rnacentral:ncRNA from 1 species